rnacentral:rRNA from 1 species
AACGAACGCUGGCGGCAGGCUUAACACAUGCAAGUCGAACGGUGCAGCAAUACACAGUGGCAGACGGGUGAGGAACACGUGGGAACAUCCCUUUCGGUUCGGAAUAACGUUGGGAAACUAACGCUAAUAACGGAUACGUCCUGCGGGAGAAAGAUUUAUUGCCGAGAGAUUGGCCCGCGUCUGAUUAGCUAGUUGGUUAGGUAACGGCUCACCAAGGCUACGAUCAGUAGCUGAUCUGAGAGGAUGGUCAGCCACAUUGGGACUGAGACACGGCCCAAACUCCGACGGGAGGCAGCAGUGGGGAAUAUUGGACAAUGGGCGCAAGCCUGAUCCAGCCAUGCCGCGUGAGUGAUGAAGGCCUUCGGGUUGUAAAGCUCUUUUAACCGGGAAGAUAAUGACUGUACCGGAAGAAUAAGCCCCGGCAAACUUCGUGCCAGCCGCCGCGGUAA